CGUGCGGCCCUGUCCCUACGACCUCGCCGGCCACGACCAGGGAUGGCUGUGCAUCCCGACACCUCUCUUCUCCAUUGAUCCCCCAUCUCCUCAAGGUGAAUCUUCUCCAGAAGGUACCCCUCUCCUCCCCAACGAGUACUCGCUUCCUUGCAGGCAGGGGCGGAUCCACCAUGGGACAUGGGUGUACAGAUGCACAUCCAAAUUCUUUUGCCAAAAAUUCGUAUAUAGGGUGUCCAUGUUGAAGGAGACGCCGAUGGUUGCCCUUCAAGCACCAACAAAUUGGAAAUUCCAAGCCCUGCUGAGAUUACGAGCAGAGUGGAAAGGGAAUCAACACCAUCACGCCAAAACAUUGAAGGAACAGGAACGACACAAGCAGCAACUCUCCAAACACAUUAGUUGUUGCUACUGAAGUUUAGAAGAAGUUCAGUGUGAUAUUAUUUCACGAUUCACAAAUGUGUUCAGAGAGUUGUUGCUUGUGUCGUUCCCCUUACUGGAGGAGGGCUCCACUUUGGCCAUUCGCCACUCUGCCUGCAAGCUCGAUGCCACAGUUUGACAGGGCCAAGGUGGUAGUAGCCGAUGACGAAUAUGGCGCCCUGGCUGUCUCUGUUCAUGAGAUUCCCGUAUGGUGGCCGAAUUUGUAUCACACCAGGCUGCUCCCCUCGUAUUGCAUAUCAGAGCUAGCUUAUAUUCAUCCAUAGGUCAUGGCUGGCUCCAAAAGCUUAUGCUACAUGAUAUUAUCAGGAACAGACGCAAUCGACAGUACUACAUUACUGCAGUCUGCACAUGUUGUGUUGAGGGGAGGAGUUGCUAGCAGUGGCGGAGCUAUGCAGCCAAAGCUGGGCGGGCCGGCAUGAAGAAAGAUCACUAUUUUUUGUUCUCAUGAUCCAGUUUACUUUAAUCCUACACUGUAUUUGCUGUGGGAUGGUGGGCCAUGGCCAUUUUCGUAAUGCUUAGCUCUGCCAGUGGUUGCUAGCAUGCCAUAAUAUCGUGCUUCCCUUCUCUAUAAUCAUGCUCGUUUCAUGCAUUGCUUCACAUCACCAAAUUAUUGGUUCGACUGAGGUAUCAGGUAUGCAACUUUUAGACAAUGGAAGGCCUGUAUCUAAAGUUCUAAAGAAACACAUUAUGUGAGUUAACUAUGUAUUUGAUGAAUUUUCGUGUAAGCUUGGUAGUUCAGAAAAAUAUUUUGUUUCUUAUAUCAUGUGGUCAACACAAUGGAGAAACAGAAGAGAACAUUUAUCGUUUAGUUUAGUAAUAUCAUCUUUUAGGUUUUGUAAUUUUAUGUGUGUAGAAUGUUCCUAUAUUAAAUUUAUCAUUUUCAUAAAUAUACUAUGACUCUAAAUGUAGUUAAAGUUAUAGGUUUUCUUGGCCUAAUUCCAUCGCAUCAUUAACUGUUUGGUGUAUCCGCAGAAGCAUAAGGAUAAUUUUCCAAUAAAUCACUAGGCAUGUACUUCCAGGAAUUUGCAGGGAAUUUUACAUGAUUUUCGGCACAAAUCUGAAUUUGUCCAGAUCCCGACUCCUCAUGUCCUUCACACUCCUUGGAUUCACUGGAGUCUGGACACCGGAGGUGUGCAAAAGCCCCGGUGUCAGUUUGUUCAAAGAUGGAGUCAGAAGGAAGACCCUGUUUUCAAAUCUUAGCUCCGCCACUGAUAGGUGGGGUGCCGGCCGAGGAGGCAACAUCCACUUCUUCUGUGGACAAGGCCGGAGAUCCCGAGAGCAUCAGCAGAAUAGGAGGAGGCAUAGGAGGCUGAGAGGGGUGACAUGGAGCAUGAGAUGGUGCCCUCGCUGCAAGAGAGGGAGCCCUGCCAAUAGUUGUUGUGGGCUUGUGGCACUGGCCACACGCAGCGCAUCACCAACCAUGAUCGUCCAGGCUGUGGCAUGGGGGUCGUGCUUGCUGCUGGUCCAAAGAUUCCCCCACCCUGAUGAUAAGGCCUCAUCCAUUCAAUUUUGACUCUGUAGACCACUAGCUUUUGGAAACAGAGAAGUAGCAGGAUGGGUAUAAUCAACUCAGCUGUUGGUUGCAUUGGGAGGUGGCAUGAACAAAGUAAAGGGGAAGAAAGCGAGCUUGGACACUAGGUGGUGGCACCAACCUGCAACUGUUUUGUUUCGGUCAAAGCAGGGGAGGGGUCAGGCAUGAACCAAACAGCUAUGGCUUAUUGCUUUGAGUCUUGCCGCACUAGGCAAGGUUAGAUCUUGUAAUGUCAUUUUCACGAUGCAAUGAUCAAGCUCUAAGAAAUUCUUGCAUACAUGUCUUUCAGUACUAUUUUUUCCCAUGGUUCAUCUGUGUAUGUCAUUUCCGUGAUGCGGUGAUUUUAAUAAUCUUGCUUAAAAUCGUUACUUAUUAGUUGUAACCAUUGUGGUCAAAUAAAGUUGGAAGCUUAAUCUUCAA